rnacentral:rRNA from 1 species
AGAGUUUGAUCCUGGCUCAGGACGAACGCUGGCGGCGCGCCUAACACAUGCAAGUCGAACGAGAGAGAGGGAGCUUGCUUCCUUGAUCGAGUGGCGAACGGGUGAGUAACGCGUGAGGAACCUGCCUCAAAGAGGGGGACAACAGUUGGAAACGACUGCUAAUACCGCAUAAGCCCACGGCUCGGCAUCGAGCAGAGGGAAAAGGAGCAAUCCGCUUUGAGAUGGCCUCGCGCCCGAUUAGCUAGUUGGUGAGGUAAUGGCCCACCAAGGCGACGAUCGGUAGCCGGACUGAGAGGUUGAACGGCCACAUUGGGACUGAGACACGGCCCAGACUCCUACGGGAGGCAGCAGUGGGGAAUAUUGCACAAUGGGGGAAACCCUGAUGCAGCGACGCCGCGUGGAGGAAGAAGGUCUUCGGAUUGUAAACUCCUGUUGUUGAGGAAGAUAAUGACGGUACUCAGCAAGGAAGUGACGGCUAACUACGUGCCAGCAGCCGCGGUAAAACGUAGGUCACAAGCGUUGUCCGGAGUUACUGGGUGUAAAGGGAGCGCAGGCGGGCGAUCAAGUUGGAAGUGAAAUCCAUGGGCUCAACCCAUGAACUGCUUUCAAAACUGAUUGUCUUGAGUAGUGCAGAGGUAGGCGGAAUUCCCGGUGUAGCGGUGGAAUGCGUAGAUAUCGGGAGGAACACCAGUGGCGAAGGCGGCCUACUGGGCACCAACUGACGCUGAGGCUCGAAAGUGUGGGUAGCAAACAGGAUUAGAUACCCUGGUAGUCCACACCGUAAACGAUGAUUACUAGGUGUUGGAGGAUUGACCCCUUCAGUGCCGCAGUUAACACAAUAAGUAAUCCACCUGGGGAGUACGACCGCAAGGUUGAAACUCAAAGGAAUUGACGGGGGCCCGCACAAGCAGUGGAGUAUGUGGUUUAAUUCGACGCAACGCGAAGAACCUUACCAAGUCUUGACAUCCUGCGGCGAUGCUAGAAAUAGUAUUUUCCUUCGGGACGAAGAGACAGGUGGUGCGUGGUUGUCGUCAGCUCGUGUCGUGAGAUGUUGGGUUAAGUCCCGCAACGAGCGCAACCCCUAUCUUCAGUAGCCAGCAGGUAGAGCUGGGCACUCUGGAGAGACUGCCAGGGAUAACCUGGAGGAAGGUGGGGACGACGUCAAAUCAUCAUGCCCCUUAUGAUCUGGGCGACACACGUGCUACAAUGGCGGUCACAGAGUGAGGCGAACCUGCGAGGGGGAGCAAACCACAAAAAGGCCGUCCCAGUUCGGACUGUAGUCUGCAACCCGACUACACGAAGCUGGAAUCGCUAGUAAUCGCGAAUCAGAAUGUCGCGGUGAAUACGUUCCCGGGUCUUGUACACACCGCCCGUCACACCAUGGGAGUCGGAAAUGCCCGAAGCCAGUGACCCAACCUUUUGGAGGGAGCUGUCGAAGGUGGAGCCGGUAACUGGGGUGAAGUCGUAACAAGGUA